GCAUAAUCUUCGUCAAAUCCGAUGUUUACAGCUUUGGCGUAUUAGUUCUAGAGAUUGUGAGUGGCAUGAAGACCGGCGCCACAACCCCAACAAGUUCACGCGCACGCACUCGUAACCUUAUAGAUUAUGCGUGGAGCUUAAGGAAGGAUGGGAAAGUGAUGGAUCUAAUCGAUUCAUCCAUCGUUGAGGGUUGCUCUCUCGUUGAAGCUCUACGAUGCAUCCAUAUCGGACUCUUGUCGGUGCAGGACGACCCAGAGGCUCGCCCCCUCAUGUCUUGGGUGGUAGCAAGCCUGGAUAAUGAAGACAUUGAGCUCCCGCAGCCAAAAGAGCCUAUGUGCUUUGCACACCGUAACUACGGAGCCGGGGAAAGCCAUGUGCAUGAUAUGAGCCUCCUAAACCUCAAGGGGCGCUAGAAAAUCCUGCCUUGUCCUUGACUUGUGACCUCAUAUCUUCAUACACGUACCUGCUCAGUGCUAUUCUACUUUACACUGGAUGAGCUCUGUUAAAGCUGGGAUUGUAAUUUUAUAUGCUUGUAAUAUGUGCUCAUAUGUAA